GAUGAACGCUGGCGGCGUGCCUAACACAUGCAAGUCGAACGGAGUCCAGCCUUUAAGACCUUCGGGUCAAAGAGGGGAAGACUGAGUGGCGGACGGGUGAGUAACACGUGGGCAACCUGGCUCAUAGAGGGGGAUAACAGAGAGAAAUUUCUGCUAAUACCGUAUAAGCACACACUGCCGCAUGGCAGAGGGUGAAAAGAGAAUCGCUAUGAGAUGGACCCGCGUCUGAUUAGCCAGUUGGCAGGGUAAGAGCCUACCAAAGCGACGAUCAGUAGCCGAUCUGAGAGGAUGAACGGCCACAUUGGGACUGAGACACGGCCCAAACUCCUACGGGAGGCAGCAGUGGGGGAUAUUGCACAAUGGGGGGAACCCUGAUGCAGCGACGCCGCGUGAGUGAAGAAGUAUUUCGGUAUGUAAAGCUCUAUCAGCAGGGAAGAUAAUGACAGUACCUGAAUAAGAAGCCCCGGCUAACUACGUG
rnacentral:rRNA from 1 species